rnacentral:rRNA from 1 species
ACGCUUGAAGUCAGUCGCGUCGUCUGGAAAUCAACCUUGCUUUUGUUGGGUGUACUUUCCAGUUGACGGGCCAGCAUCAGUUUUGACCGGUGGAAAAAGGCUAAGGGAAUGUGGCACCUUCGGGUGUGUUAUAGCCCUUGGUUGUAUACAUCGGUUGGGACUGAGGAACUCAGCACGCCGCAAGGCAGGUCUUCGGACACUUUCGUGCUUAGGAUGCUGGCAUAAUGGCUUUAAUCGACCCGUCUUGAAACACGGACCAAGGAGUC